UACGGUGGGUGCAAGCGUUAUCCGGAUUCACUGGGUUUAAAGGGUGCGUAGGCGGGCAGGUAAGUCCGUGGUGAAAUCUCUGAGCUUAACUCAGAAACUGCCAUGGAUACUAUUUGUCUUGAAUGUUGUGGAGGUAAGCGGAAUAUGUCAUGUAGCGGUGAAAUGCUUAGAUAUGACAUAGAACACCCAUUGCGAAGGCAGCUUACUACACAAAUAUUGACGCUGAGGCACGAAAGCGUGGGGAUCAAACAGG
rnacentral:rRNA from 1 species